rnacentral:misc_RNA from 1 species
AAACAAUUGGUCCUUUUUAUUAUCCUCUCUGUUCACAUUUUACAAAAACAAAUAGUCUUGGAGCAACCCAUCACCAAUCUCUGAAUGGGAAGUCACGGAGACAGUUGGGCAGAUCAAUGGGGCAGUCAAAACGAUGUCGUAGAUGAUCAUGGGAGCAAAGGGAAAAACGGCGGCGGUGGCAGCGGUGGUAAGAAGAUGGAGAAGGUGACGGCGGUGGCAUCGGCGAGUUUUGGGAAGGCGAAAUCGGCGGCGGCGGUGGGGGCUGACAAAGCGAAGGCUGCGGCGGUGGUGGGUGCAAAAAAGGUGAAGAGUGGAACUUCAUUGGGGUUUAAAUGGAUUAAGGAAAAGUGCCAGAAAAAGUGAUUUUUUUUUUUAAUUUUUCAUUUGAAUCAUUCAAAGGUUUAGUUUAUAUAUGUAUACAGAUUGUUUUGAUGAAUGAAAUUGGAA